UUAGUGAUUAUCUCUAGAGCAGCCUU
rnacentral:piRNA from 1 species